rnacentral:rRNA from 1 species
AGCGAACGCUGGCUGCAGGCUUAACACAUGCAAGUCGAGCGCCCCGCAAGGGGAGCGGCAGACGGGAGAGUAACACGUGGGAACAUACCUUUUGGUUCGGAACAACUGAGGGAAACUUCAGCUAAUACCGGAUAAGCCCUUACGGGGAAAGAUUUAUCGCCGAAAGAUUGGCCCGCGUCUGAUUAGCGAGUUGGUGAGGUAACGGCUCACCAAGGCGACGAUCAGUAGCUGUUCUGAGAGGAUGAUCAGCCUCACUGGGACUGAGACACGGCCCAGACUCCUACGGGAGGCAGCAGUGGGGAAUAGUGGACAAUGGGCGCAAGCCUGAUCCAGCCAUGCCGCGUGAGUGAUGAAGGCCUUAGGGUUGUAAAGCUCUUUUAACGGGGAAGAUAAUGACGGUACCCGUAGAAUAAGCCCCGGCUAACUUCGUGCCAGCCGCCGCGGUAAAAC